rnacentral:rRNA from 1 species
AGAGUUUGAUCAUGGCUCAGGACGAACGCUGGCGGCGUGCUUAACACAUGCAAGUCGAACGGAAAGGCCCAUACGUUGUGUGGGUGCUCGAGUGGCGAACGGGUGAGUAACACGUGGGUGAUCUGCCUUGUACUCUGGGAUAAGCCUGGGAAACUGGGUCUAAUACUGGAUAGGACUGCAUCGUAGGUGGUGUGGUGGAAAGAUUUUUUUUGGUAUGAGAUGAGCCCGCGGCCUAUCAGCUUGUUGGUGGGGUAAUGGCCUACCAAGGCGGCGACGGGUAGCCGGCCUGAGAGGGUGGACGGCCACAUUGGGACUGAGAUACGGCCCAGACUCCUACGGGAGGCAGCAGUGGGGAAUAUUGCGCAAUGGACGAAAGUCUGACGGAGCAACGCCGCGUGAGUGAUGAAGGCUUACGGGUCGUAAAACUCUGUUGUUAGGGAAGAACAAGUACGAGAGUAACUGCUCGUACAUUGACGGUACCUAACCAGAAAGCCACGGCUAACUACGUGCCAGCAGCCGCGGUAAUACGUAGGUGGCAAGCGUUAUCCGGAAUUAUUGGGCGUAAAGCGCGCGCAGGCGGUUUCUUAAGUCUGAUGUGAAAGCCCACGGCUCAACCGUGGAGGGUCAUUGGAAACUGGGGAACUUGAGUGCAGAAGAGAAAAGCGGAAUUCCACGUGUAGCGGUGAAAUGCGUAGAGAUGUGGAGGAACACCAGUGGCGAAGGCGGCUUUUUGGUCUGUAACUGACGCUGAGGCGCGAAAGCGUGGGGAGCAAACAGGAUUAGAUACCCUGGUAGU